GACGAACGCUGGCGGCGUGCUUAACACAUGCAAGUCGAACGGAAAGGCCCUGCUUUUGUGGGGUGCUCGAGUGGCGAACGGGUGAGUAACACGUGAGUAACCUGCCCUUGACUUUGGGAUAACUUCAGGAAACUGGGGCUAAUACCGGAUAGGAGCUCCUGCUGCAUGGUGGGGGUUGGAAAGUUUCGGCGGUUGGGGAUGGACUCGCGGCUUAUCAGCUUGUUGGUGGGGUAGUGGCUUACCAAGGCUUUGACGGGUAGCCGGCCUGAGAGGGUGACCGGCCACAUUGGGACUGAGAUACGGCCCAGACUCCUACGGGAGGCAGCAGUGGGGAAUAUUGCACAAUGGGCGGAAGCCUGAUGCAGCAACGCCGCGUGCGGGAUGAAGGCCUUCGGGUUGUAAACCGCUUUCGCCUGUGACGAAGCGUAAGUGACGGUAAUGGGUAAAGAAGCACCGGCUAACUACGUG
rnacentral:rRNA from 1 species